rnacentral:rRNA from 1 species
CGGUUAAACUAAAGGAUUAAAUUAUAUUUUUAAAGGUAAAAAGGCAGUUAAGUAUAUCAUUCAGUUAUAUUAUUUUGUAUAAAAAAGUGAAAUUCACUUAUACAAAAAUAAAUCUAAAAUAACUAAUUAAACUGAAGCUGCGAAAUCUUUGAGGGAAACUAGGAUUAGAUACCCUAUUAUUCAAAGUUAUAAAUAAUGAAUUUACCAGAGUACUACGAAUUAAAUAAUUUAAAACUCAAAGGACUUGGCGGUGUUUUAGACUUUUUAGGGGAACCUGUCUCAUAAUCGACAAUCCACGUUAAACCUGACCUUUUUUUGUUAUCAGCUUGUAUACCGUUGUCGUCAGGUAGCUUUUAAGAACUAUAAAAGUUAGCAACAUAACAGUAAAUUAUUACGUCAAAUCAAGGUGCAGCCAAUAAAAUGGGGAAGAUGGGUUACAAUUAAAAUUUAUAAUUAUGGAUAAAAUUAAUGAAAUUUAUUUAUUGAAAGAGGACUUAAAAGUAAAAUAAAUUAUAUAAGUGAUUUGAAUAAAGCUCUGAAACGUGUACUAACCGCCC